rnacentral:tRNA from 2 species
ACUUAUAUAAUAUAAUAAGUAUAUUUAACUUCCAAUUAAAAAGUUUAAAAAUUUAAUAUAAGUA